rnacentral:lncRNA from 1 species
AUGGUGAAGAUUGAUGCACCUUCGAUGAAGCUUAUCUCAGAGAAAGUGAUGAGAUGUUGCGGAUGCUGUUUUUAUAAUCUGUUGGAGGUUGUUACAACAGAGCAACUCUCAGCCUUUGGAUUGAAGUUAGUUACAGAUAUUGGAUGUCAAGGAUUAAUUAAUUAUCAGGGUUGGUUGGUGUGUGCUUUAAUGGUACAAUGA